UGGGGAAUUUUGGACAAUGGGGGAAACCCUGAUCCAGCCAUCCCGCGUGUGCGAUGAAGGCCUUCGGGUUGUAAAGCACUUUUGGCAGGAAAGAAACGUCGCGGGUUAAUACCCCGCGGAACUGACGGUACCUGCAGAAUAAGCACCGGCUAACUACGUGCCAGCAGCCGCGGUAAUACGUAGGGUGCAAGCGUUAAUCGGAAUUACUGGGCGUAAAGCGUGCGCAGGCGGUUCGGAAAGAAAGAUGUGAAAUCCCAGAGCUUAACUUUGGAACUGCAUUUUUAACUACCGGGCUAGAGUGUGUCAGAGGGAGGUGGAAUUCCGCGUGUAGCGGUGAAAUGCGUAGAUAUGCGGAGGAACACCGAUGGCGAAGGCAGCCUCCUGGGAUAACACUGACGCUCAUGCACGAAAGCGUGGGGAGCAAACAGGAUUAGAUACCCUGGUAGUCCACGCCCUAAACGAUGUCAACUAGCUGUUGGGGUCUUCGGACCUUGGUAGCGCAGCUAACGCGUGAAGUUGACCGCCUGGGGAGUACGGUCGCAAGAUUAAAACUCAAAGGAAUUGACGGGGUCAUAGCUGUUUCCU
rnacentral:rRNA from 1 species